rnacentral:rRNA from 1 species
AGUGAACGCUGGCGGUAGGCCUAACACAUGCAAGUCGAACGGCAGCACAGUAAGAGCUUGCUCUUACGGGUGGCGAGUGGCGGACGGGUGAGGAAUACAUCGGAAUCUACUUUUUCGUGGGGGAUAACGUAGGGAAACUUACGCUAAUACCGCAUACGACCUACGGGUGAAAGCAGGGGAUCUUCGGACCUUGCGCGAUUGAAUGAGCCGAUGUCGGAUUAGCUAGUUGGCGGGGUAAAGGCCCACCAAGGCGACGAUCCGUAGCUGGUCUGAGAGGAUGGAUCGGCCAAACGGAAACUGGGAACGGGCCAGGACUCCAAGGGGGGGCGGCGGGGGGAAUAUUGGACCAUGGGCGGAAGGCUGAUCCAGCCAUACCGCGUGGGUGAAGAAGGCCUUCGGGUUGUAAAGCCCUUUUGUUGGGAAAGAAAAGCAGCAGGUUAAUACCCCGCUGUUCUGACGGUACCCAAAGAAUAAGCACCGGCUAACUUCGUG